UCUUUCUGAUGAAAAAAACUACUAUCAGUUCUGCUUCUGAAUCAAUUUUUCAUGAAGACAACACCAUACCAAAAGCUUACUAUUUCUGAUUU
rnacentral:snoRNA from 1 species